GUGAGUAUCACGUGGGUAAUCUGCCCUCGGCACCGGAAUAGCCCGGGGAAACCCGGAUUAAUGCCGGAUGGCCUCUCGAGCCUUCGGGCUCGAGAGAAAAGGUAGCUUUGGCCUCCGGCCGAGGAUGAGCCCGCGGCCGAUUAGCUUGUUGGUGGGGUAACGGCUCACCAAGGCGACGAUCGGUAGCUGGUCUGAGAGGACGAUCAGUCACACUGGGACUGAGACACGGCCCAGACUCCUACGGGAGGCAGCAGUGGGGAAUCUUGCGCAAUGGGCGAAAGCCUGACGCAGCGACGCCGUGUGCGGGAAGAAGGCCUUCGGGUUGUAAACCGCUUUCAGGAGGGACGAAGCCACUCGGGUGAAUAGCCCAGAGGGUGACGGUACCUCCAGAAGAAGCCCCGGCUAACUACGUGCCAGCAGCCGCGGUAAUACGUAGGGGGCUAGCGUUGUCCGGAUUUAUUGGGCGUAAAGAGCGUGUAGGCGGCCAAGUAAGUCCGGUGUGAAAACUCCGAGGCUUAACCUCGAGAUGUC
rnacentral:rRNA from 1 species